rnacentral:rRNA from 1 species
GACGAACCGUGCGAACGUUAUUCGGAAUCACUGGGCUUAAAGGGCGCGUAGGUGGUUGAUCAAGUCUGGGGUGAAAUCUUUCGGCUUAACCGGAAAAGUGCCUUGGAUACUGAUCAGCUGGAGGGAGGUAGGGGCAGUUGGAACUUCCAGUGGAGCGGUGAAAUGCGUUGAUAUUGGAAGGAACGCCGGUGGCGAAAGCGAACUGCUGGACCUCUUCUGACACUGAGGCGCGAAAGCUAGGGGAGCAAACGGG